AGAGCGAACGCUGGCGGCAGGCCUAACACAUGCAAGUCGAACGGACUCUUCGGAGUUAGUGGCGGACGGGUGAGUAACACGUGGGAACGUGCCUUUAGGUUCGGAAUAGCUCCUGGAAACGGGUGGUAAUGCCGAAUGUGCCCUUCGGGGGAAAGAUUUAUCGCCUUUAGAGCGGCCCGCGUCUGAUUAGCUAGUUGGUGAGGUAAAGGCUCACCAAGGCUACGAUCAGUAGCUGGUCUGAGAGGAUGACCAGCCACAUUGGGACUGAGACACGGCCCAAACUCCUACGGGAGGCAGCAGUGGGGAAUCUUGCGCAAUGGGCGAAAGCCUGACGCAGCCAUGCCGCGUGAAUGAUGAAGGUCUUAGGAUUGUAAAAUUCUUUCAGUAGGGACGAUAAUGACGGUACCUACAGAAGAAGCCCCGGCUAACUUCGUGCCAGCAGCCGC
rnacentral:rRNA from 1 species